rnacentral:rRNA from 1 species
GCACAAGCAGCGGAGCGUGUGGUUUAAUUCGAUGCUACACGAAGAACCUUACCUGGGCUUGACAUGUACGUCGUAGGGAACCGAAAGGUAACCGAUCCUUCGGGAAGCGUACACAGGUGCUGCAUGGCUGUCGUCAGCUCGUGCCGUGAGGUGUUCGGUUAAGUCCGACAACGAGCGCAACCCUUGUUGCCAGUUAUACUUUACUGGCGAGACUGCUGGCAUAUAACCAGAGGAAGUGGGGAUGACGUCAAGUCAGUAUGGCCUUUAUGUUCUGGGCUACACACGUGCUACAAUGGCCGGUACAGACGGACGCAAAGCCGCGAGGUGGAGCAAAUCCUAAAAAGCCGGUCUCAGUUCGGAUUGCAGGCUGCAAUUCGCCUGCAUGAAGUCGGAAUCGCUAGUAAUCGCAGGUCAGCAUACUGCGGUGAAUACGUUCCCGGGCCUU